rnacentral:rRNA from 1 species
AGAUUGAACGCUGGCGGCAUGCCUUACACAUGCAAGUCGAGCGGCAGCGCGGGGGCAACCCUGGCGGCGAGCGGCGAACGGGUGAGUAAUACAUCGGAACGUGUCCAGUAGCGGGGGGAUAACCUCUCGAAAGAGAGGCUAAUACCGCAUACGACCUACGGGUGAAAGCGGGGGACCGCAAGGCCUCGCACUAUUGGAGCGGCCGAUGUCGGAUUAGCUAGUUGGCGGGGUAAAAGCCCACCAAGGCGACGAUCCGUAGCUGGUCUGAGAGGACGACCAGCCACACUGGAACUGAGACACGGUCCAGACUCCUACGGGAGGCAGCAGUGGGAAUUUGGACAAUGGGGGCAACCCUGAUCCAGCCAUGCCGCGUGAGUGAAGAAGGCCUGGUUGUAAGCUACUUCGGUCGGGACGAAACGGUACCGUACGACGAACAACCACGAACUAAUAGACGGUACUCGUACAGAAGAAGACACCGGCUAACUACGUAGCCAGCAGCCGAC